GCACGAACCAGCGGUACUGCCAGCCUUUCAUCACGUUGGUCCAUUUACUCAGUGGGCCCUCCAUAAUGGACGCCAUCUUGGGGAGCCGCGGAUUCCAGAUUUGCUCGACCCUCCUUCUGGCAGCCGCUGAAGUUUGUGUCGUUGGACGACCCGGGUGCCCUAAAAAGCCCCAAACGGCAGCCCUGCCCUACGGUUUUCCUUUAUUCCCGAAGGGGGGGAAAAAAAACAGGGACCCGACGGGGAAUAGUCUGUGAAGACGUUAGUCACCUCAAGAGUUGGAAGGGGCUUAAUGCCCUGGCUGCUGUUACAGAACCCUGCAAGCCAUUUACUUUGAUUUCAGAAUGGUAUCCUGUCUGAAAACUGUAACAUUUCCAUUUGGAUUACAGCUUUUUGAUUGAGGUGAAUAGAAUAUAUUUUCCCAAACAAGGUGAACUGUUUUACUGAAAUCUAAUGAAUGUGACUACAUUUGGAUCUUCGUGCGGGUAGAAUGUAAUUAGAAGGAAAAAAGAGGGGGCAAAGAAAAUGUUACACACUAUAGGUGGUAGGGAUGCAUGGAAAUAUGGACUGGGGAUAACUUCCCUCCUAGUUAUGUUGGAUCAAGCUGUUCUGCCACUGAAAAGCAGUAUUCUCCACCCAUUUUCUUUGUGGUAUGCCUGUAGUUUACAAUGUAAAAAUUAAAUAUCUAUUCCUAAUGGCAGCAGCUUUUUUUAAAAUCUAUGACCAAAGACCAAACAAAUUGAACAAUAUAAAUAAACAAUACAAAAGUUUCAACAUACAUUAUACUGAGCACUAACUCCCGAAGGGUACAAAAUUGUAGUUAUAUAUAAAGAAAAAACAUUUAAACUAAAAAGGCCUUUUACAUUAGUUCUUUCCAGGUUUUAAAUAGUCCAUUUGUAGCAUUUCCCUGAAAAAUAUUUCUGUUCAAAGAAUCCUGAUUAUUUUUCCCAAUACAUUUAUUUAGUAGGAAGGCAGUGCAUUGAACUGAUCU